UAGGGAAUCUUCGGCAAUGGACGAAAGUCUGGCCGAGCAACGCCGCGUGAGUGAAGAAGGUUUUCGGAUCGUAAAACUCUGUUGUUAGAGAAGAACAAGGACGUUAGUAACUGAACGUCCCCUGACGGUAUCUAACCAGAAAGCCACGGCUAACUACGUGCCAGCAGCCGCGAUAAUACGUAGGUGGCAAGCGUUGUCCGGAUUUAUUGGGCGUAAAGCGAGCGCAGGCGGUUUCUUAAGUCUGAUGUGAAAGCCCCCGGCUCAACCGGGGAGGGUCAUUGGAAACUGGGAGACUUGAGUGCAGAAGAGGAGAGUGGAAUUCCAUGUGUAGCGGUGAAAUGCGUAGAUAUAUGGAGGAACACCAGUGGCGAAGGCGGCUCUCUGGUCUGUAACUGACGCUGAGGCUCGAAAGCGUGGGGAGCAAACAGG
rnacentral:rRNA from 1 species